rnacentral:lncRNA from 1 species
UACCCACCCCCACCAAGGACCAUUAGAGGAACGUUGAAAGAUCUGAGGAACCUCAGGCAAUCGGCGUGACCUUUUACCGACAAGUUGAAGCAUCCCAACCUGUCACCAGCCAGUGAAUCAGCUCCACAUUGGAGCACAACUGCUUCAGGUUGGUAGGCCUCCAUGACUUUACGGAUUACUGGUCGAAAUAGGUCUUGAAAACUGUCAUCAUCGAUACCAUCAUUCAGUGGCACGUUAAGGGCAUAAUUCUUGCCCUGACCAUGUCCAACAUCUUUAAUGUGCCCAGUUCCAGGAAAGAAGUCACCAAAUUUAUGAAAAGACACCGUCAUUACUCUGUCUGUAGUAUAAAAGGCCUCUUCCACACCAUCCCCAUGGUGGAUGUCAAUAUCAAUAUACAACACACGCUGCGCAGUAGAACUCAGUUUGUCAGGAUUUAUUAUCAAUACAGAAACAGUACAAAAGAAAAUUUGAGCUAACAGUACAAAAGAUUAAAAAGAUUGCAAUGCACGCGUAAUUAUAUCUCACAAGCUGCACUUAAGGAAUAAGUUGGAGCAUACAUUCAGGACAACCGAGCACCCAAAAAUAUAAAUUAGAGGAUGCAGAAAGACACCUUGCAAAAAAUUACUGUUCUUUAUUUGUUUAGGUAGCGGGGAGCAGAACCUAUCGUAAUUUCAUGAUGAACUAACAAUUCUAAUGUAAAUAAUUCUUCAAGAAAUACAGUAAUUACAAACUAAUCUAGUGGUAUUGCUAUCAUCCAUGUAAUUUAAAAAAUGAACGAGACAACCGUCUCAGUUCUUCACUUUUUUUUGUUGGUAUAACUAGCAUGUUGACACAAGAAGCGGACAUUUAUUUUGCUGCAAUGUAGUAUGAAUAUGUAUCCAACUAGUACAUACUUGUUAGUUAGGAGCAAAACUAUAAACAACUGCUUGCAAAGAGGAAUGCAGAUAACAAGUAUGAUAAUCAAAUUCGAGUAAAUUAAUUAAGUAAUCCUUUGCAGCAGGAAACAUCAAGUUGGUAAAUUACCCUGUAGACUUUAAUCACAAACACAUAAAUUCCCCGCUAGCAAACACCUAAAUUAUAAAUCAUAGGAUAUACUUCAAGGAGCUCAACAAAUACCAAGAUCAAUAUGAUUACAUUGAAAGAUGCAAUUGGACUAAACAACCAAACCCCCAAACUCAAAACCCCUAAAAAUCAAAAAUUUAAUCAUGCCCAGAUCAAGAAACAACAAAAUCAAACCAUACAAACACAUUGUAUCAUAUAAUUCGGCACAUACAAUUCAAAUAAACAACCAAGACCUGGAAAUCAAAAACCCAAAAAAAUCUAAAAAACAACAAACAAUACCCUGUGCCUUUUAAGCAGCUCAAGAAUGCCGAGCACAAUGUCAUUAACAUAGCAAAACCCUGAAGCCUCUGACUUUUUCGCAUGAUGCAGCCCUCCCGCCCAAUUAAUCGCAAUAUCAGCCUCCUGCAAAUUCAUCUUCACUGCCGCCCCAAUCGACCCCCCAGCACUGGCCUGACAAAACCCAAACAUCCCAUCAAACACCGGACAAUCCCCGCCCAUCUUGAAGCUCUUCAAGUGCCUAGCAUGCUCAUGAUCAUGUGAUGAUUCCGGGGUGACUGAGGCGAGAAAGUCGACGUAUUCUUCGGAGUGGAACUUCCCGAUGUCGGCAGGGGCGGCGGGGAAGGGGCAGAUGAUCUCCAUCUUGCGGUGGAGAUUGUAGUGCUUGAUGAGGUUGUGGGCCACGCGGAUGCGGUGGGGCUUCAUGGGGUGGCCUUGGCCGUAGUAGUAGUCACCGAUGGUGGGCUCGUAGAAGUAGGUGACGCGGCGCUUGGUGGCGUCAGAGCCGGGGGAGGGGAGGGAGGCGCCGGAGAAACCGUCGGUGGCCAUUUGGUUCUGGGGUUUCAGUGUGUGUGUGUUUGGUGAGGAGGUGUGAGAAAAGAGUGAAAGGGGGUUUCAGUGUUGGUGGGGGGUUGUAUUUAUAGGGGGAAGUAUCGAGCAGCAGUAAAUUUAGGAGUUUUCGGUUUGGUUGUAGCAAAUAGAUCGAGUGUAAUAGUAAUUUUACGGAAUUGUUGAUAGAAGCCUCAUGAAGUGAAUUUGGUUUUUUGAUUGAUUUUCGAUAUAAAUGAUCAAUCAUAGAUGAAAGUAUCGAGUAGCAGUGAACUUGAGAAUUUUUAAUUUAGUUUGGGGAACAAAUUGAGUGCAGUGACAAUUUUACAAAGUUAUUAAUAGAAGACUCGUAAAGUGAGUUUGGGUCCCACCGUCAAUUCUAGAUAUGAAUGGGUCAUAGGCGGAAGUAUCGAGUAGCAGCAAAUUUGAGGAUAUUCAGUUUUGUGAAGCUGUUGAUAGACGAUUCAUGAAGUGAGUUUGGGUCACCACCGAUCAUGGGUGUAAAUAGAUAAUAAGCGGAAGUAUCGAGCAGUAGUAAAUUUACGGGGUUUUGGUUUGGUUUAGGAAAUAAAUUGAGGGCAAUAGUAAUUUUGUGAAACUGUUGAUAGAAGUCUCGCGAAGUGAGUGUGGUUCUAUUAUAAAUCUUGGAUAAAAACGAUCAUAGGCGAAAGUAUCAAGCCGUAGUAAAUUUGAGAAUUUUUAAUUUGAUUUUAGAAACAAAUUGAGUGAAGUAAUAAGUUUAUAAAAUUAUUGAUAAAGGACUCAUAAAGUGAGUUUGGGUCCCACCACCGAUUUCGGAUGUGAACGGGUCGUAGGCGGAAGUAUCGAGUAGUAAUAAAUUCAGAGAUAUUCGGUUUGAUUCUGGAAACAAAUUGGAUGCAAUGGCAGUUUUGUGAAAUUGUUGAUAGAAGAUUCGUGAAGUGAGUUUGGGUCCCACCACCUAUCUCGAGUAUAAACGGAUCAUAGGGGAUGAGUAGUAAUAAGUUUUAUGGAUUUUCUGGUUCAGAAACAAAUUGGGUGUAGUUGUAAUUUUGUGAAAUUGUUAAUAGAAGACUCGUGAGUGAGUUUGGGUCCCACCAUCGAUCUUGGGUAUAAACGGGUCAUAGGCGAAACAUCGAGCAACAAUAAAUUUGAGGGUUUUCAGUUUGAGUUAAGAAACAAAUUGGAUGCAAUGGUAAUUAUGUGAAGUUGAUAGAAGACUCGUAAAAUGAGUAUGGGUCCCACACCACCGAUCUCGGGUGUAAACGGGUAAAAUUGAGUUAUUUGAGUUUAUUUUAAUGAUACGAGUUGAGUUCGAAUAUGAGAUUUUCGAUUAUUUAUUAAACUUAGAUCGGGUUUUAAAUCAUUCGAUUCAAAAGUUCGCGAGCUUCAUCGGGUUUUUAUAUAUAUUAUAUAUACAUAUACAUACAUGCAUGCUUACAUACAUACAUACAUACAUACAUAUAUACAUACAUAUAUAUAUAUAUAUAUAUUAUAAAUAUAUGUUUAUAAAUUUCUAUGUGGUAAAUGUAUUUCAAGUCAAGACAAUUUAAAUAUCUAAUCAAAAUGAUUUCAGUUGAAGUCAAGUCAAGAAACGGACAGUUAUUUUGCUGCAAUGUAGAAUGAAUCUGUAUCCAACUAGUACAUACAUAAUAUAUAUAUAUAUAGAUUGAUAGACACCUAGAUUAAAGCAAAUCAAGUGCAUCAAAAGUGAAAUAACAGGCAAGACGGUGCUCCGAGAACUAUUAUUUCAUAAAGCAUGUGCGGAAGAUUCAGUGUAUAUAUAUAAUACUACAAUGCAUAUUGUUUGAUUGCAGAGAGUAUUGAAUAAAAAAAAUACUCGCCCUGUCCAAAAAUGAUUCGUUUUGACUUUUUGCACAUAUGUCAAGAGGCAAAUUUGUUUGCCUUCUCUCGCGUAUUUUGAGGUGCAACAAAACUACUUCAGUAAAAUGUAUUUUCAAUAUUCUUUUUUUAACAAAAAUUUAAAAGCUGCACUUCUAUUAAAAAAAGAAUUUAAAAAAAAUGGGAAGUAAAUUUGUAUUGCUAAUCUACAAAAAGUCAAAGCAACUCUUACUCCGAGAAAAGAGGGAGUAAUACAUUAACCACAUCGUAUAUAUGUAAAAUUACUCGUACAAACUCAAAUAUGAUGAUCAUUAAUAAAUACAGCUUAAUAUUUACCUGAUCUUCUCUAGAUCGGCUGGAGAGUUGUGGUUCUCAACAGGAGUUGGUCGCACAUGAAGGGUGUAAUCUGGGCCAAAGUACUCAAAGUAAUCAUUGUAAGGCAAUUUAUUGUCAGGUUCCACCCCAACUGCAACUGCUGUCUGCAGAAUAAAUGAGUAAAACAACCAAGAUUUAGAAAGAAUAUUGAGUAUGAAUACCAUUGAGAAAAAAGGGAGAGAGAGGGGUGAGAGAGAGAACCUCAUAGCACCAGCAUCGGGCCACAUUCCGCAUUGUAUACCCACCCCCACCAAGGACCAUUAGAGGAACGUUGAAAGAUCUGAGGAACCUCAGGCAAUCGGCGUGACCUUUUACCGACAAGUUGAAGCAUCCCAACCUGUCACCAGCCAGUGAAUCAGCUCCACAUUGGAGCACAACUGCUUCAGGUUGGUAGGCCUCCAUGACUUUACGGAUUACUGGUCGAAAUAGGUCUUGAAAACUGUCAUCAUCGAUACCAUCAUUCAGUGGCACGUUAAGGGCAUAAUUCUUGCCCUGACCAUGUCCAACAUCUUUAAUGUGCCCAGUUCCAGGAAAGAAGUCACCAAAUUUAUGAAAAGACACCGUCAUUACUCUGUCUGUAGUAUAAAAGG